GGCAGUGCCAGACAAAACUCUUGUGAGCAUCUCCAUAGUCACAGGAAAUGCAGUCCUUUACUCUCCAAGUGCCACAACUCUCCUGAUAAAAAACUCUUUCAACAGCAAUAGAAGGGGGUCUGUCCUCCAGACCUGAGGAAGGACUGAAGAUUCAUAAGUCCUGAGGCUAUGUCAUCUCAAGGAAGUCUGAAGGACCCACAAAGGUCAGAAACAAAACAAGAUGAAGCAAACAAGACAGUCUCUGCAUCUCUCCCAGGGUUCUGGGAAGGAUGAUCCAGCAAGAUAGAAAAGGUGCCAUUCAGGACAGGGUGCUGGAUUUCAACAUAGAACAAAGACCAGCAUCUCUUCAGGAAUCCUCCAGAACUCCUGCACUAGAUGGUACUGCUGAGACACCUAGUCUUGUGAACUGAACAACUACCAGAUUCUUGGCUUUUCCAUUGGGAUACUGCUAUUGUUGGAUUACCAGACCACAGCCUUUAAAGAUCUGAUCUCUCCGUGGUUUAGACGUGAGCUCUCCGUGCCUUCCACUUGUUGCUAUGCCUCCCUGCUAGGAUGGACUCCUACCCCUCUGGAACCACUGAAGUUUCUUCAGCCUUCUCUGACGUGAAUGGAACACCAGUGACUCUUCAGGAAUUUUCCAGGCCUUCAGCACCAGACUGAGACUGCUGAAGUGAUCAGCUUUUUGGACUAAACAGCCUCUCUAGUGUUCUACAGAAGACAGAUGGAUCAUGAAGAAUGACAGUUGACUAUGGCAAACUUAAUCAAGCAGUGACUCCAAUCACAGAUGCAGCUUCCUUAUUUGAGCAGAUUAACAUAUCUCCUGGCACCUGGUCUCGUGCAUAGUAGGCUAGCCUUGAGUUCCCUGCAUCCCUGAGAAUGACCUUGAGCAUCUCCUGACAUCAUCUUCCAAUUCAGACAUGCCCUGGUGUUUGUCGACGUAGUGAUUCUGAAUCCCAGUAGGUUGAUAAUGGAGAUUGACUGCAGCAUACUACAAAGCUCCAACAGCUUUUUGAAGUGCUCCUGUGAUGCUGGUAGCUGUUUCUGCUUCUUUCCCAGUGCCUCCAGGCAGCACCUGCUCUUCAUAAGUAAUUUCCUAUUACUUGGUCAUCGAGAGAGAACAAGUCUUGGAUCAGCUUCCAAUUGUUUUGGAUCCGCUUCUAAUUGCUUUGCUUGUCAUGCAGGUAACCUGUAGCCUCCUAGGAGGAACAGAAGAAGGGAAACACCCAAGCAGAUGGGAUGUGGAACAGUCAUUCUGGUUAUUCUACUUGACCUAGAAGGAGAGAUAAGGUUUACAGGUUCCACGCUUUGGUGGCACAGCACAGGGUAUGAAGAGACUUGUAUCCCAUAAGAAUGUUGGGCACAGAAAUAAACCCCUGGGCUGAAGGGAGCUCCAUGGUGGAUGAAAUGACCUAAUCAGUGGCCACCAGCUAGCCUUCUCCCCAGAUAUCACUGUCAUUGCCAAAAGGGCUUGAGGAAGGUAUGACCUGGAGAGCGUGUGUGGACCGGACGGUACGUGGGUGUCCAUUCAUUGAGGUUCAUCUACUAAGGCUGCUGCUUGGCACUCAGAUGGGUACUGCCACUAUGGGAGAGACCCCUCUGCUGUCACUGACACCAAGACAUACCUGAAUGUGAGCUGGCUUUUCGGGUCCAGGGUGCCUUCUUAGUAUACUUGACACCCUGCUGUGUAUCUCAUGGUUUUCUUCUGAACAGGGACUCAACACAGGCAGAGAGUACAAGCUCAGAGAAUCACUGCCUUAAUCCUCUCUAUCACCCGGGCUUGAGGACAGAUGACUGCAUUUUCUGCACCCUAAGGAGCUAGAACAAUGUCUUCUGAACCCAUCCAUGCAGCCAUGUUCUUGUAGCCACUGCUCAUGGUCCUGGAAACACAGAGGUUAAGCCAUCAAUGAUUUUGUUGUUGUUGUUCAGGGGAAAUCCACCAGUGACUGGCAGAUAGGACCCAGGGCUUUUGCAUACACUAGGCAAGCACCCUAUUACCAAAGUUAUAUCCCAUCUCUAUUCGAAUAACAAUUAUCUUCCUGUCCCCACUGCUCUAGGUUCUCUUGGUCAAGACUUCCACAGUAGGCACAAUACUGACUCCCAGGACCCUAGAGGUUGAGGAGACCAUGGGUGCACUUUGAGGUGUUCUUGUGAGAGAAUCACCAAGAUAGAUGCAAGGGGAAGACUGCAGGCUGGUACAGCUGCCCUGGCCAGUGAAAACAGGCUGCGGUUUCACAACAGAAAACCUAGACUGUAAACGAUGCCCUGCAGCUCUGGUCUCACCGUGAUUAACAUCAAUGGAAGAACUCCACUGCCCAAUCCAAGCAGGACUGCCGAGGGCGCAGACCUUUCAGGAAUGAAACUUAGGUCACCCACCAGGUAAAGGGCCACAAUCAGCUAAAGCACUCGCUGAAGCAAAAAGACGUGCAGGAAGAUGGUGAUAAAUACCAACCAGGCCAUGUGACCAGCUGCGGCCCCGAGCCUAGGAGAGUUACAGAAUUCUUCCCUAUGCGGUGACCAAAUAUGACUGGGAUUCUCCCUUCCCCUCCUCCGGACUCCUGCACCUAGGAUUAUGAGUUCCUAGAGCUGCUAGUUUUCUGUCUUUGGAUUGGCUGCAGCUCAGCUAGAAGGGGAAUGGAUAAGGACACAGAACCUCCCGUCUCUAUGGGGGGUGGGGACAUGCAUCUGACGGUGCAGUCCCAGCUGUCAGUUAGGCGAAAGUGGAACCUUACUUAGUUCAGAAAUCUCACCAAAGGCUUUCAUUUUUGUAAGAGGAUCAAAACAGGCAGAUCCUUAGAGAGAGAAAACAGCUGUCUUCCUGGUGUUAGGGAGGAAAUACCGGGAUGAUUAGGUGCUAAUGGCAGCAGGGAGAUAAGAUCUGGUAUGCUAGGAACAUUCAAACGCCAGAUAAUGGUGGUGGUCUGGUGGAGUUACUGAAAAUCACAGAUCGGUGUGCUUACUCAGAGCAAAUCAGAUCCCAUGCCAAGCAGAUGCAAUGGAGUUUCUUGUUUUCAAAGGGAAGUUAUCUGUGGUUGCCAGGGGGAAGGGGCAGCUGCAUGAUGUCACUGUCACUGAACUGAGGGUGGCAGCCACAGGUGUGGAAGUGAAGCAGGGACCCUCUUUAUGCCUCACGCUGGUUUCUGCCUGGCUUCCUAGAGCUUCUUUCUCCCUGAAGUCUUGGGUGCCGCCGGCCUCCUCCCGUGCUAUUCGCAGGUUGGUGUUGUGCACUGUCUGUCACAGAUUUUCUGGGAGCCCAGCAAUAUAGAGGACCUCCUGUUUCCCACUUCCCAACCACUGGGACUCCAGCUGGCUACUGGCUCCUGUACCAGCCAGGAUAUGUUCCAGGAGCUCCCCCUCCCCCCAGUCAAGCAGGGUUCUUCUGUCUUUGCCCUAGUCCUCCCUAGGGAGGGCCUAGGGGGGCAUUUGUCCCCAGCUCUGGUUACUAGUACAUGACCAUUCUCCGUUUUAAGCCUGCUCUCUUCUUUCCUUUCCUCAAGUACAGACUACAGUAGAGGCCUGAGAUCAGCAGAGACCUCAUCCAGUCCCCAGCAACCUGUACACUCUGUGCCCCGUGAUAAAGCACACAUAGCAGAAUUGUUCAUCUUUGCCGUGACUAAAUGAUGGAUUGACUAUCUGCUGCCCAUCCUCCAAGCAGAAACUGUCUCUGUGAAACACGGAUUCUCCAUCUCUUCCCAGCCCCCAUCACUCCACCCUGCUUUCUAUCUCUGUAGAUGUGUAGUCUCCAGGGACCUCUCAGGAGAGGAAUUCUAUAACGUGUAUCUGUGGUAGGCUUCUUUCCCUGGGCAGUGUCUAGAAUGUUCUGUGCUCCCUCCACACCUCUCCCCAUGCCUGUGCAGGCCGUCACUUCUGCUCACCUUCCCAUAGCAAUCUUCUUCCACAGUGAGGACCAAGGCCCAGACACAGAACCUUUUGAGGGGAAUUCAAGCUAUACCCAAACCACAGAACCCCAAUCCCUUCCUCCUCUAAGAGGCUCUUACUGGGGAUCAAGGAGUCAGCAGAGCCGUGAAGGCAGCAUUUGACUUGAGAGACUCCUGAGGACUUUUGCUGCAUUAUGAUAAAUGUUAGUUUUGUGACGGCACAAUUUCCAGGCCAUAUGUACCUGUGAGGACCAACAUUCUGUCAAUGUCUCCAAGGCCUCUGCUGUUGCCGCACAGCACGCCGCCUCUGCUUUCCUUACUCUCCUUCCCUUCCCUCGCUCCCUCUCUUCUCUCCUCAUGUCUCUCUCUGCCCAUCCUCUUUUCUCCUCCUUUUUCUCUCCCCCUUCUCCUCUCAUCUCUCUCCUUCCUCCUCCUCACCUCCCCACACCCACCCCCUGCCUCCGCACUCGCCUUCUCCCCUCCCUUCUUGUCUCUGCUAUCCUCUCCUUUUCUUUUCCCUCCUCUUCCUCCCUCUUCCCCCUUCCUCCUCUCCCCCUCCUCCUCCCCUUUCCUCCUCUCUUCCAUUCCAGCCUCCUCCCUUCCCCCAGGUAUCUCCCAACUCAGGAGUCCUCUCAAGGGAGCCGCUCAGGUCCCUGGUUGCUUCGGGCCUUGUUGGCUUCCUGCUGCUGCGGUUGGCCAGCCGGCCCGCCGGGAGGCUAUUGUUCCACCUGGGUGAGAUCACGUCCGUUCCGUUGGGCUUCUAGGUCUUGAAAGUGGACAGGCACGUGUGGUCUGCCCGUUCCAUCACUCUCCAGAAAGGAAGCACAGGCUGGACUGAGUGCUGGAUAAAAGUUGUAGCCGGGGCUUCCUUUACUGUAAUGCUGCUGCCUUUUCCCUGGACAUCCACCCACCGGGAAGCUGGAGCCACCUGAGGACCCCAGUACAACAGCAUUUUCAUCUACUUGGGCGACUUCAUUAUUAUUGGUAUUGCUAAGUAAUGGCUUUCUAAUCCUAUCCCUCCCUGUGUGUUUACUAGCCGACAUUCUGCUGCAAAACAAAAGCAGAAAAAACCACCCAGGCUUUUCCUCUCCAUGACUAAGUAAGCAAUAAACUACCUUUAGAAUGGAUCCACUGCCAACUGCUGUGAUCCGUCAUUUACCCUGAAGCUAAGGACAAAGCCUGUCCCCAGUGUGGCCAGCAGGCGCUGUCUCUUGGAGCUGGCUCCUUUGUCUUGCUGACAGUGCCCGACCUGCACCUGACUCACUCACUUUCUGAGAUGUCAUCUCAGGUAUUUCUUACUUGCUGGUGGAAUUACCAUCUAAGA